CUACCAUGGCAGUCACGGGUAACGGGGAAUUAGGGUUCGAUUCCGGAGAGGGAGCCUGAGAAACGGCUACCACAUCUAAGGAAGGCAGCAGGCGCGUAAAUUACCCAAUCCUAAUUCAGGGAGGUAGUGACAAGAAAUAACAACUCGGAGUCUCACGACUUGCGAGAUUGCAAUGAGCACAAUUUAAAUCUCUUAGCAAGGAACAAUUGGAGGGCAAGUCUGGUGCCAGCAGCCGCGGUAAUUCCAGCUCCAAUAGCGUAUAUUAAAGUUGUUGCAGUUAAAAAGCUCGUAGUUGAACUUCUGGGCGUUGUUGCAGCGGCUUCGGUCGUUGCAAUGGCGCUCAUCCGUCUGAGAACUAUAUUCGAUCUUCACUGGUCGGUAUAGGGAUCAGACAUUUUACUUUGAAAAAAUUAGAGUGUUCCAGGCAGGCAAUCGCCUUGAAUACACAAGCAUGGAAUAAUGGAAUAGGACUAUGGUUCAUUUUAUUGGUUAUUGGAUCAUAGUAAUGAUUAACAGGGACAGUUGGGGGCAUUAGUAUUUAAUUGUCAGAGGUGAAAUUCUUGGAUUUAUUAAAGACUAACUUAUGCGAAAGCAUUUGCCAAGGAUGUUUUCAUUAAUCAA
rnacentral:rRNA from 1 species